rnacentral:tRNA from 1 species
CUGUUAACUAAAAUGUCGCGGGAUCAAGGCCCGUCUUUCUAG